rnacentral:rRNA from 1 species
GAGUUUGAUCAUGGCUCAGGACGAACGCUGGCGGCGUGCCUAAUACAUGCAAGUCGAGCGCAGGAAAUUAACUGAUUCCCUUCGGGGAUGACGUUAAUGGAAUGAGCGGCGGACGGGUGAGUAACACGUGGGCAACCUACCUGUAAGACUGGGAUAACUCGCGGAAACGCGAGCUAAUACCGGAUAACAUUUCUUUUCGCAUGAGAAGAUUUUAAAAGGCGGCGUAAGCUGUCACUUACAGAUGGGCCCGCGGCGCAUUAGCUAGUUGGUGAGGUAAAAGCUCACCAAGGCGACGAUGCGUAGCCGACCUGAGAGGGUGAUCGGCCACACUGGGACUGAGACACGGCCCAGACUCCUACGGGAGGCAGCAGUAGGGAAUCUUCCGCAAUGGACGAAAGUCUGACGGAGCAACGCCGCGUGAGCGAUGAAGGUCUUCGGAUCGUAAAGCUCUGUUGUUAGGGAAGAAAAAGUUGGAUAGUAACUGAUCCAACCUUGACGGUACCUAACCAGAAAGCCACGGCUAACUACGUGCCAGCAGCCGCGGUAC